GAUGAACGCUGGCGGCGUGCUUAACACAUGCAAGUCGAACGGAAAGGCCCAAGCUUGCUUGGGUACUCGAGUGGCGAACGGGUGAGUAACACGUGGGUGAUCUGCCCUGCACUUCGGGAUAAGCCUGGGAAACUGGGUCUAAUACCAGAUAGGACCACAUUUUGGAUGGUGUGGUGGAAAGUUUUUCGGUGUGGGAUGAGCUCGCGGCCUAUCAGCUUGUUGGUGGGGUAAUGGCCUACCAAGGCGUCGACGGGUAGCCGGCCUGAGAGGGUGUACGGCCACAUUGGGACUGAGAUACGGCCCAGACUCCUACGGGAGGCAGCAGGGGGGAAUAUUGCACAAUGGGCGCAAGCCUGAUGCAGCGACGCCGCGUGGGGGAUGACGGCCUUCGGGUUGUAAACUCCUUUCGCUAGGGACGAAGCGUUAUGUGACGGUACCUGGAGAAGAAGCACCGGCUAACUACGUG
rnacentral:rRNA from 1 species